UACGUAGGCAGCAAGCGUUGGUUCGGAGUUACUGGGCGUAAAGGGUGCGUAGGUGGCGCGUUAAGCCGUUGUGAAAUCCCUUGGCUCAACCAAGGAAAUGCUUCGGAUACUGGCGUGCUUGAGGCCGGUAAGGGUCACUGGAACUGACGGUGGAGCGGUGAAAUGCGUAGAUAUCGUCAGGAACGCCAAUGGUGAAGACAGGUGACUGGG
rnacentral:rRNA from 1 species